UCUUUUCCUUUUGUGCCCGCCGCCGCGGUAAAACGUAGGUCACAAGCGUUGUCCGGAAUUACUGGGUGUAAAGGGAGCGCAGGCGGGAGAACAAGUUGGAAGUGAAAUCCAUGGGCUCAACCCAUGAACUGCUUUCAAAACUGUUUUUCUUGAGUAGUGCAGAGGUAGGCGGAAUUCCCGGUGUAGCGGUGGAAUGCGUAGAUAUCGGGAGGAACACCAGUGGCGAAGGCGGCCUACUGGGCACCAACUGACGCUGAGGCUCGAAAGUGUGGGUAGCAAACAGG
rnacentral:rRNA from 1 species